rnacentral:lncRNA from 1 species
UUCGUUUGAAUAGAUGGUCUGAGAAGCAAGCUCCUAGAUGGAGCAUCAAGUGGAACGCCCAUCCCACAGACUUGAAGGAAGACCUCGUCUCCUCUCCUAACUUCUUUGCUCUCCAUGAGUUCUUAAUCUCCAAGACCAGACAAAAACAAAGGAUUUUUAGAGUAAGCAGCAGAACAGAAAGAACGUCAGCGGAACAGAAAGGAGUCCCUGCUUUCAGAGGUGGCACAAAGCUCCAGAAUCACCACGGGCUUUGUGCUGGGUCAGCUGGCACCCACCUGGCAGGUUUUAGGAAGAACAAGAGCGUUCGUUUGAAUAGAUGGUCUGAGAAGCAAGCUCCUAGAUGGAGCAUCAAGUGGAACGCCC